rnacentral:rRNA from 1 species
GACGAACCGUGCGAACGUUGUUCGGAAUCACUGGGCUUAAAGGGCGCGUAGGCGGGCCGCCGAGUCCGGGGUGAAAGCCCCCGGCUCAACCGGGAACAGCUUCGGAUACCGGCGGCCUGGAGGGGGUGAGGGGCGCGUGGAACUUCCGGUGGAGCGGUGAAAUGCGUAGAUAUCGGAAGGAACGCCGGUGGCGAAGCGACGCGCUGGCCCUUCUAACGCUGAGCGCGAAGCCAGGGAGCAACGG